rnacentral:rRNA from 1 species
UAAGGAAUAUUGGUCAAUGGAGGCAACUCUGAACCAGCCAUGCCGCGUGCAGGAAGAAGGCCCUAUGGGUCGUAAACUGCUUUUGAACAAGAGAAAACCCCGGUACGUGUACUGGGUUGAUAGUAUUGUUAGAAUAAGCAUCGGCUAACUUCGUGCCAGCAGCCGCGGUAAGACGAAGGAUGCAAGCGUUAUCCGGAUUCAUUGGGUUUAAAGGGUGCGUAGGCGGACUGAUAAGUCAGUGGUGAAAUCUCUCGGCUUAACCGAGAAACUGCCAUUGAUACUGUUAGUCUAGAGUACAGAUGAUGUGGGCGGAAUAUGACAUGUAGUGGUGAAAUACUUAGAUAUGUCAUAGAACACCGAUUGCGAAGGCGAGCUCACAAAACUGUAACUGACGCUGAGGCACGAAAGUGCGGGGAUCAAACAGGAUUAGAUACCCACGUAGUCCCUGAGCGGGCUGGCAAGGCGCAU